rnacentral:rRNA from 3 species
CCUACGGGAGGCAGCAGUGGGGAAUCUUGGACAAUGGGCGCAAGCCUGAUCCAGCCAUGCCGCGUGAGUGAUGAAGGCCUUAGGGUCGUAAAGCUCUUUCGCCAGGGAUGAUAAUGACAGUACCUGGUAAAGAAACCCCGGCUAACUCCGUGCCAGCAGCCGCGGUAAU